AUCCAGAUGACGAGUCCCAAAAUGAAACACGCGUCCUGGAU
rnacentral:hammerhead_ribozyme from 1 species